rnacentral:sRNA from 1 species
UUAUUGCGUUAACGAUUGAAGCGAUAUCCUUUUUUUCUUUUUCAGAAAAAAAGAUUUAGUGCAAAGCGUGGUAAAAA